UCGUCACACUAUCAUUAACUGAAUCCAUAGGUUAAUGAGGCGAACCGGGGGAACUGAAACAUCUAAGUACCCCGAGGAAAAGAAAUCAACCGAGAUUCCCCCAGUAGCGGCGAGCGAACGGGGAGGAGCCCAGAGCCUGAAUCAGCAUGUGUGUUAGUGGAAGCGUCUGGAAAGGCGCGCGAUACAGGGUGACAGCCCCGUACACAAAAGCGCAUGUGCUGUGAGCUCGAUGAGUAGGGCGGGACACGUGGUAUCCUGUCUGAAUAUGGGGGGACCAUCCUCCAAGGCUAAAUACUCCUGACUGACCGAUAGUGAACCAGUACCGUGAGGGAAAGGCGAAAAGAACCCCGGCGAGGGGAGUGAAAAAGAACCUGAAACCGUGUACGUACAAGCAGUGGGAGCCCCACCACCAAAGCAUUUGCUGUACCGCGUUGACGGAGCGAAGCGACGUCAAACCGAUAAAACAGCAGUGUAAAGUGAGCCGCAGGGCGCUUUGCGCGACAGCGCAAAGGCAGGCGGUUUCGCGUAGCGA
rnacentral:rRNA from 1 species